rnacentral:sRNA from 1 species
ACUUUCACUUUCAUAGCUAGUAUAAGCGGCAGAGGGUCGGCCUAACGAAUUGUCCUCCACAUCGUAAUCAAACUGGAACUCAUCGCUGUGCGAUGUCCUCGUCUGUAGGCGAUGGACGGCUUCCUGAAUAAGAGUCUGUUUCCUGAGAAGUUGCCUGAGUAAAGUCACCGAGUCAGUUAUUGCACUUUGUGUGGCUGCCGCUGCUGUAGUUGAUUCCCUUGCUAUAGAACAGCCACAGUUCCUUGAGAGACAUUUUGAACACUUUGGUACUAUGUGAUGAGACGAUGAUGACGAUGAAAGAAACGAUGAAUCGUUGAUCAAUGAGUGAGCCUUCCAGUGUUUCACUACACAGUACGGCGAAGACCGCAUGCGUUGUUUACAUCGUCCUAUAUAGUUGUUCUGUAAUUUUCCAACUAAAAAUUCCAUUUCCGAAGAAAUAUUUUCUCCUUGGAGACUGUGUUGUAACUCCUGUGCCGAAAUCUUCAUGAUUUGAUAAAUAUUUCCCGGUAGUUUAACGUGCUUUGUUUAUUAAGCACGAAGGAUGAUACACACCAAACCGCCUCUUGCCGGUGUAUUUUUGAAUGGAAAUUCUUUGUUGAUAAAUCCGACUGUUUACUGUCUUCUGCUUACGCGUAAAAAAUAGUUCCGAACGCUUUGGGAGAUGUUGCGCUUUGUUUAUCACAGGUUUACUUAGAAGAUGGAUGAGUGAACAGUUUAAAGCAAACAAAUACUCAAAAAUUAAUAUUUUUAUCAUAUAUUACUAUUCGAUGACUGUCGAUUGGGUGUAAAUAACAAGCACAUGUUUGUACCGUGAACGGUGUUGUUCAAUACUGAUUGGCUGAGCUACAUCAAAAACACCGCAAAGGAUUGUCCUCUACAAAAAAGAAUUCAAACAAACUUAAAUGAGAUAAACCAACACAGCUUUUUUUUUACACCAGAGAAUGCUUUUUUUUUCGAAAAUGAAUCAUAUGGAUAUAUAUGGACACACGGAAUAGGUUCCGAUCUACCAAUUUUAUUCAUGAAGAUGAUCAAUAACAAUUAAAUU